UCUUUGAGGCCUUUUUUGACUUAGCAACAGGGUCAAAAUAUCUAUGACAUCCAAUGCAUGAGAGGAGAGUGUGACCUAAAACGCUUGCUUACAGCUCCCAAGGAUCUCUUGAAUUGGACUUUUCUAGCUUGGCAGUUCAGGGCAUACUGACAGAGUCUCUCUGUCAUGGAAAGAAAUAAGUCCCUGCUGAAUGAAAUUUGACAGUAGGUGGUAAUUCCUUUGUCACUUGCUCCCAUGUUUUGUUGAAUUCUUGUAUAACACUCCCCCUGGGCUUUAACAUCAGGCAUAACACCUCCCUUGGUGUCUUUGCCUUCAUUUGUGAUACUACCCCUGGCAUCUCUGACUUCAUGUUUAACACUCCACCAGUCGUCUCUGACUUCAUUUGCCACUCUACCUCUGGUUUCUUUGCCUUCCUUUGUAACAGUCCCCUGGGUGUGUGUCUUCAUGUGUCACAUUCCCCCUGGCAUCUCAGAGUCUGUGUGUAGUAUUCACCAUUGUAUCUCUGACUUCCAGGAUAACACUCCCCCUGGGUCUUUCACUUCGUGGAACUCUCCUCUGUGGCUUCUCUGGCUUAGUGUUUAACAGUCCCCCUGUUGUCUCUGACUUUAUGUGACACUCUUCUCACGGUGUCUCAGGCUUCAUGCAUCACACUCACCCUGGCUUCUCUAACUUCAUUCAUAACUCUCCCACUGGUGACUCUGGGUUCGUGUGUAACACUCCAUGUGCCCUCUCUGGAAUCAUGUGUAACACUGCCCUGUUAUCUAUGAAUUUGUGUGAAACAAUCCGAGUGACUUCACUGACGUUGUGUGUCACACUCCCCUGUUGUCUUUGUUUCACGUGUUUCUCUCCCUGUGGUAUCUUUGUCUUCUUUUGUCACACUCCACCUGGCAUCUCUAAAUUCGUGUAUCACACCCCCCUGAUAUAUUUGACUUCAUGUCUAACACACCUGGUGGAGUCUCUGACUUCCUGUGUUACACACCCCAUAGUGUACCUGAGUUUGUGCAUCACACUCCCUUUGCCGUCUAUAACUUCAGGUGUCAAACUGCCCCUGGCUUCUGGCUUCUCUGACUUCAUCUGUCACACUACACGUGGUGUCUCUGACUUCCUGUGUAACACUCCCCUGGCAUCUCUGACUUCUCGUGUAGCACUCUGCCUGCCAUCUGUGAUGUCCUGUAUCACCCUCCCUGUGGCAUCUUUGAAUUCAUGUGUAACACUCACCCUGUCAUCUCUGACCUUGUGAGUAACACUUACAAUUGUGUCUCUGACUUUAUGUGUAAAACACCCUGUGGCAUCUCUGACUUCAUUUGUAACACUCCCCCUGGCAUCUCUGACUUCGUUUUGCACACUCCCCCCUGACUUCUCUGGCUUAGUGUGUAUCAGUCUCCCUGUUGUUCUGACUUUGUGUGAUACUCUCCCCCUAGUGUCUCUGACUUUGUGCAUCAAACUCUCCCUGGUGUCCCUAAAUUCAUUUUUAACACUCACACUGGCAUCUCUGAGUUCCUGUGAAACUCUCCACAUGGCCUCUCUGACUUCGUGUGUCACACGUCCCUUGUCAUCAUUGACUCAUGUCUCACUCUCCCCCUGAUAUCUUUGAUUUCAUGUGUCACACUUCCCCUGGUGUCUAUGACUUCAUUUCUAACACUCGCCCUGGUGACUCAGAAAUCAUGUCUAACAGUUACUGUGGUGUAUCUGACUUCAUGUGUCACAUUCAGCCUGGCAUCACUAACUGCAUGUAUCACCUUCCCUCUGGUGUUUAUGACCUCGGGUGUAACAAACCCGAUGGUGUCUCUGACUUCUUUUGUAACACUCCCCCUUUUGACUCUGAGUUCAUGCAUCUCACUCCCUCUGCCACUAUACCUUCAUGUGUAACACUCCCACUGGCUUCUCUGAUUUCGUGUAUAACACUCCCCCUGGCAUCUAUGACCUUGUGUCUAACAUUCCCUGUGGUGUCUGAAUUCAAGGUUCACACUCAAUGUGUCAUCUUGCACUUUGUGAGUAACACUCCCCCUGGUGUCUCUGACUUCAUGUGUAACACUCCACAUGGCCCUUCAGACUUCGUGUGGUACACACCCUCAUUCUCCCUGACUUCAUUUGUAACAGUCUUCUAGGCCUUUUUGCCUUUGAGUGUAACAGUACCCCAUGGAGUCUCGGACAUCUUGUGUAACACACUGACGUCUCAGAUUUCGUGAGUAACACUCGCUGGGCCAGCUCUGACAUCAUGGAUAACACACUCAGUGGCAUCACUUGCUUCAUGUGUCAUGGAACCCCUUGUGUCUCUGUGAUCUUGCAUCACACUCCCCAUGUAAUCUCUGGCAUCAUUUGGCACACUGCACCUUGCAUCUCUGACUACGUGUGUCAAAUCUCCCCUGGCAUCGUGGACAUUGUGUGUAACACAUCAUGUGGCAUUUUUGACUCCUUGUGUAACACUCCCUCUGGUGUCUCUGACUUCGUGUGUAAAACUCAGCAUGGC
rnacentral:lncRNA from 1 species